GACGCGCUUGCUGCGCCAAGGAUUUUUUGGGCUCUGAUUUUCCCGGGACGCAGUUGCGGGUUAACUUCACCUGUUGCGCCAGGUCUGGACGCAGUGCUUGGUCGUUGGGCCCCGGGCGGCCUCCAGAAAAAGCAUCCUGAGGAGGAAGAAGAAUUGUUACACGUCUUAAAAUCAAGGUUCAGAUGAGUUGCCUUUUUGUUCAAUAAAUGAUUUAUGUGUAUAGAACUUAAGAAUAUUUGCUUUACUUGGCCCAAAAUGUUUUCCCUAAUAGUGAAUUAUCUCAGUAAUUCCUUCCCAAGAGGUGUGACGGGCCGUGCAGGUGAAUUCCCCAGUGUACUCCGCAUUGACUGACCCUCUGCAGAGCCCAUCCAGGAUACCACAUUACAUUCCGUUGUCAUGUCUCCUUAAGCCCUUCUUGGCUGUGACAGUUUCUCAGACUUCCCUUGUUUUUGAUGACCUUGGCAGUUUUAAGAGGUACUGGUCAGGUAUUUUGUAGGAUGCACCUCUUUUGGAAUCUGAUGUUUUUCUCCCAUUUAGACUGGGUUUCGGGGCUUGGGGAUGGAAGAUUACAGAGGUAAAUCACCACUUUCAUCACAUCAUGGCAAGGGUACCUGCUGUCAACAUGAUUUAUGAUUGUGGAGGUUGAACUUGAUCAUCUGGCUGAGGUAGAGUUUGUCACUUUUCUCCACUGUACAGUUACUCCUUUUUUUCAAAGACUGUAUCACCCUGAGUGACAGACACGUAUUUUGGAACCCCGAUUACUAGAGCCUAGUCACUCUGACCCUGCUUCUGUCAUCACAUUUUUCUGUCUCUUCUCACCUCCCUCAUCAGCUUUUAAGGACUCAUGAUUACAUUGGGCCCACCUGGAUAAUUCUAGAUAAUCUCCCUGUCUUAAGGUCAGCUGAUUAACGACUUGAAGUCUAUUUGCAACCUAACUCCCCUUUGCUAUGUAAUGUAACACAUUCACAGGUUCCAAGAUGAGGACAUAGACAUCUUUGGGAGACAGUUGUUCUGCCGACCACAGGCCUAUCCAUUCAGAGUUCCCUUAAUGACAGCAAUAUACUCGCUUCCCCUUAACUGUGAUCCUUUUCUUUGUUAAUUUUUUUUUUAAUUUGGGACUGUCUUAAGUUAUAUUUCUUAUAAUGGGAUUAAUGCAGGCCUGCUGCAAAAAAUUCAGUCCCCUAAGGAGCUCAUAAAGAAGAA